rnacentral:rRNA from 1 species
CCCUUAGAUGUCCUGGGCAGCACGCGUGCUACAAUGAUGCAUUCAACGAGUCUUGCCUUAACCGAAAGGUUCGGGUAAACUUUUGAAAUUGCAUCUUGUCGGGGCUUGAUCAUUGUAAUUUUUGAUCACAAACAAGGAAUUCCUUGUAAAUGUGAGUCAUCAACUUGCAUUGAAUACGUCCCUGCCCUUUGUACACACCGCCCGUCGCUUCUACCGAUGAAUGAUCCGGUGAACACUCUGGACUUGUUGUCUGUCGGAGCAAUCCAAAGACGGUAGGGAAGUUGUGUAAACCUUAUCAUUUAGAGGAAGAAGAAGUCGUAACA